rnacentral:rRNA from 1 species
GACGAACGCUGGCGGCGUGCUUAACACAUGCAAGUCGAACGGAAAGGCCCUGCUUUUGUGGGGUGCUCGAGUGGCGAACGGGUGAGUAACACGUGAGUAACCUGCCCUUGACUUUGGGAUAACUUCAGGAAACUGGGGCUAAUACCGGAUAGGAGCUCCUGCUGCAUGGUGGGGGUUGGAAAGUUUCGGCGGUUGGGGAUGGACUCGCGGCUUAUCAGCUUGUUGGUGGGGUAGUGGCUUACCAAGGCUUUGACGGGUAGCCGGCCUGGGGGGGUGACCGGCCAAAUUGGGACGGAGGUACGGGCCAGACUCCUACGGGAGGCAGCAGUGGGGAAUAUUGCACAAUGGGCGGAAGCCUGAUGCAGCAACGCCGCGUGCGGGAUGACGGCCUUCGGGUUGUAAACCGCUUUCGCCUGUGACGAAGCGUGAGUGACGGUAAUGGGUAAAGAAGCACCGGCUAACUACGUG